GGAGUCUCGAAAGACAAGAAAUUCAGGUAGGCACAGAGGAAGGAGUGGCCCAGGGCGCAGCAACAGCUCGUGGGGAGACAGGCCAGUGAGAAACACUAUGUCUCCCACCAGACUCUCCCCUCCCUUCCUGAGUCUCGCUCGUGAGCUGAGGGACUUGCUCACUAAAGUCCUGCCUUCCAUGUCCUCAUCCAUAGAGGGAGGCAGACAAUCUCUCUCCUGCAAGGGGAAUUGCUAGCAGUCCCAGAAACUGUGUGGGGGGUUAUGAGGCCCUUUCCCUACAAGGGGAUCUUCUGCUGCCGUCUCCCACUCCCAACACCCCCAGCCACCUGUGCUCUUCAUUUCCGAGCAGAAUGGGACUGCCCUUGUUGCUUCUCCAAAUCUCCAGGCUUAUGCUGUUUCGACUUCAGCCCUACUUGUCUCCGUCACCACACACAUGUGCACUCACAUGUACAACACACAUGCACAUAAGAACACUGCACACGUGUGCACACACAAACAUGCACACAAGUAUGUGCACAUACACACACCUACACGUGCACACUCACACAGUUAAUCCCUCAACUGGAUUACAUGGACAGAAUCCUGUCAUCUUCCUGCUGCUCCCACCACUGCUGAGUCCUCAACGCAAGAGUUCAAAGACUAGCUUAAAAAAAAAAAGUUGCUGAGAACACUUGCCCUAUCCCAAGAGAUUUUACUUUUGGUGGACCUGGGGCUAGAAGUCUAAGGUUUUGACUGAUGACUUUGAGGUGGGUGAGUAGGUGGAACUGGGUCACUCCUUCCUUCUCCUCCUACCCCAGGUGCAUUUUCUCUUGCCCUGUGCUUCCAGGUACCUGAAGGUGCCAGAGGUUGCUCUCUCACUGUCUACAUUUUGCUGGCUUUUACAGAAGAAACCAUUUUAAAGCACCAUUGAGGGUAACAUCCAUCAGUCGUGUGCUCAUGACAAUCAUUAAAGCAUGUCACCCAAGUGGAACUGGUAUUGUUGAUCAAUCUUGACUUAUCUAGCAAUCUGCCCACGCAGGUGUGUGGCAUCCAACGUCCACACUCUUUCCCUACCAGACAAUGCCCACCAAGACCUCCCAGCAAGAUAUGUGAUGAACCCUACUGGCUUUACUGUGGGCAACACAAGCCAUUUCUUUUCAGACAUUCUGCGAUUCUGACUCCCUUCCCACACCUGAUGGCCCAACUUGUGGAUUUUAUAAUGUCCACCAGCUCAGCCUGGCCACAUUUCAGGAUGGCAGCUUAUGCCCAAGGUAUCCACCACUGCCUAGUUUGGAUGUUUUCAACUACAAGCAACAGACAACCUGGAUUCCAACUGGUUUUAAAAUAUGGACAUUGAAUAUUUCCUGUUAUAAACAGGACAGCCAGGUAGGAUGUUGAUCUACCAACUCUACAGAGCCUUCAGAAAUUGUACUCUGCCAUCCAUGGUCUUAAUGUCAUCUUCACUCUGGUCCCCUGGAGAUCCACCAAUGGCUCCAUCAGCAGCCUUCCAUCAAGCAGAUGGACCGUGUCAUCCAGGUGGGCUGGAAGGUAGACAAGGUAGACCACUUAUAUCCUGCAGGAGUGAGAACCCCUCCCACCUGAGUGGCCUCCAGCACUUUUCUGAUUGGGCCAAGGAAGGUCCAAUGUUCACCCCUUGACUCAGCACAGUCACCUGGGGUCGACCACACUUCCGCUUCCCAUGGCUGUACCAAGGAGAAGCAGGGGAAUUAACAAAAUCUGAGUCCCUUAGAAAGAAGGAAGGGAAACUGGAUACUGGGUAGGUGGCUGCAAGAGCCACAGCAUUCCAUAUGACAUUGACUCAUCAAAACAGGCCUCAGACUCGGCCCCCUUGGCAGACAGAAAAUAAGAAGCUGUUGCAUGGACCGGAUACGGUGGCUCAUGCCUGUAAUCCCAGCACUUUGGGAGGCCAAGGCGGGUGGAUCAGCUGAGGUCAGAAGUUCGAGACCAGCUUGACCAACAUGGUGAAACCCUGUCUCUAUCAAAAAUACAAAAAUUAGCUGGGCUUGGUGGUGGGCACCUGUAAUCCAAGCUACUCGGGAGGCU
rnacentral:lncRNA from 10 species